rnacentral:lncRNA from 1 species
CUGAAUGUGGAUGCAGUGCCCAUGCAGUGGAUGCAGUGUCCCAGAAGUUGGAUCUAGUGCCCCCAAGGGUGGACGCAGUGCCCCCAAAGAUGAAUGCAGUACCAUCUGAAGGAGGAUGCAGUGUGUGUGAAUGUGGAUGCAACGUCCCAGAGGACGAUGCAUUGUCCCUGAAGUUGGAUGUGGUGGGCACAAAUAUGAAUGCAGUACCUUCUGAAGGUGGAUGCAGUGCCGGCGCAUUGCAUUCAGUGUUCCUGAAGGUGGAUGCAGUGCACGCGAAAAUGAAACCAGUACCUUCUGAAGGUGGAUGCACUGACCUUGAAGUGGAUGCAGUGUCUCUGCAGUGGUUGCUGUGUCCCCGGCAUUGUCCUGGAAUGUGGAUGCAGUGCCAAUGCAGUGGAUGCAGUGUGCCUGCAGAGCCACUACAGCUGGAUGCAGUGUUGCUGCAGUGGUUGCAGUGCCACCUGCAUUGUCCCUGAAUGUGGAUGCAGUUCCCAUGCAGUGGAUGUAGUGUCCCACAAGGUGCUUGCUGUAUGUUGUGAUGGAGGAUGCAGUGCCCUUGAGGGUGGAUGCAUUGAUUUGGCAGUGGUUGCAGUGCACCCUGUGGUGUCCCUGAAUGUGGAUGCUGUG